rnacentral:rRNA from 1 species
UAGUCCACACCGUAAACGAUGGAUACUAGCCGCUUGGGGAGUUAACCCCCUGAGUGGCGCAGUUCACACAUUAAGUAUCCCGCCUGGGGAGUACGGUCACAAGGCUAAAACUCAAAGGAAUUGACGGGGCCCGCACAAGCGGUGGAGUAUGUGGUUUAAUUCGAAGCAACGCGCAGAACCUUACCUGGCCUUGACAUCUCGGGACAAUCAUAGAGAUAUGACUUUCUCUUCGGAGACUCGAAGACAGAUGCUGCAUGGCUGUCGUCAGCUCGUGUUGUGAAAUGUUCGGUUAAGUCCGGCAACGAGCGCAACCCCUACCGUUAGUUGCCAGCAAGUAAAGUUGGGGACUCUAGCGGGACUGCCGGUGCAAACCGAGAGGAAGGUGGGGAUGACGUCAAAUCAUCACGGGCCCUUACGUCCUGGGGCUACACACGUGCUACAAUGGUCGGUACAGAGGGGCA